rnacentral:rRNA from 1 species
GAUUGAACGCUGGCGGCAUGCCUUACACAUGCAAGUCGAACGGCAGCACGGGGGCAACCCUGGUGGCGAGUGGCGAACGGGUGAGUAAUACAUCGGAACGUGCCCCGUAGCGGGGGACAACCAGUCGAAAGACUGGCUAAUACCGCAUACGCUCCACGGAGGAAAGCAGGGGAUCGCAAGACCUUGCACUAUGGGAGCGGCCGAUGCCCGAUUAGCUAGUUGGGAGGUAAGGCUCACCAAGCAACGAUCGGUAGCUGGUCUGAGAGGACGACCAGCCACACUGGGACUGAGACACGGCCCAGACUCCGUACGGG